GUAAGCCGAAGACAGCUACUGGUUAUUUGUUAACUUAGGAAACUCUAUCCACCAUAGAAACUAUAAUGUUGGAAAACAUAUGCUGAGAAGCAUGACACUGGAGCAGAAACGAAACGUCUUUUAAUGAAUGAUAAUGAUGCAAUAGCUGAUAGACAUUAAAAGGAGCGGUGAAACGGCCAAUCUAUAGGGUGCAAGAACAAAUGUGCUGAUGACAACUCUCGAGGCAAGGUAGUUCGCAAAGAUGAAUGCUGUUAAACAGAAGAUGGGUUAUCUCGGUAUAC
rnacentral:RNase_P_RNA from 1 species